GUGUAAACGAGGUGCUCUACCUAACUGAGCUA
rnacentral:tRNA from 1 species